CUAUCCAUGUAAAGAUGUGACUUGCUCCGCCUUGCCUUCCACCAUGAUUGUGAGGCCUCCCCAGACAUGUGGAACUGUGAGCAAACCCGGCAGGCCUUCUCCCUCUCAGUGCUGGAUUUUACUGCAGCAGCCUCCUGCCUGGACUGGGGCCUCUACGCCCACACCACCGUCUCCCUGCCUUUGCCAGAAGGCUCUGACAGUGCCUCCCUGCCUGGACCUUUCACGGCCGCUGGGAUGAAGCCUGGGCACCAUAGACCGCCCAUCCUCCAUGUCCCCCACCUUCCUAGCCCCGGCCUACAAGCAGCCUUGCUCACCUCACUUGCCACCUGUCCCUUCCAGUGUGCCUAUGUGCCUUGGUCCCUGCU
rnacentral:lncRNA from 1 species